rnacentral:tRNA from 1 species
AGGGGUAUAGCUCAGCCGGUAGAGCGGCGGUCUCCAAAACCGCAGGUCGCGGGUUCGAAUCCUGCUGCCCCUGCCA